rnacentral:rRNA from 1 species
AUUGAACGCUGGCGGCAUGCUUUACACAUGCAAGUCGAACGGUAACAGGCCGCAAGGUGCUGACGAGUGGCGAACGGGUGAGUAAUGCAUCGGAACGUGCCCAGUCGUGGGGGAUAACGCAGCGAAAGCUGCGCUAAUACCGCAUACGAUCUAUGGAUGAAAGCGGGGGACCGUAAGGCCUCGCGCGAUUGGAGCGGCCGAUGUCAGAUUAGGUAGUUGGUGGGGUAAAGGCUCACCAAGCCAACGAUCUGUAGCUGGUCUGAGAGGACGACCAGCCGCACUGGGACUGAGACACGGCCCAGACUCCUACGGGAGGCAGCAGUGGGGAAUUUUGGACAAUGGGCGCAAGCCUGAUCCAGCAAUGCCGCGUGCAGGAAGAAGGCCUUCGGGUUGUAAACUGCUUUUGUACGGAACGAAACGGUCCUGGUUAAUACCUGGGGCUAAUGACGGUACCGUAAGAAUAAGCACCGGCUAACUACGUGCCAGCAGCCGCUGUAACAC